CUCGGCAAAGGAGGCCGGGCUCCAGACCUCCGGCUCGUGCUGCUCCGCGCGAGCAGCAGCAGCAAAGCGGGGAGAGGCUCGGCCAGAGGCAUACCCCGGCGGCGGCGCAAACGACGGGAGUAGCAGCGAACACAAUGGACGAAAAAAGAGGGCUGCGUCGGCUGGCGUUCAGAUGUGCGAGGUCGCAUCAGGUUGUGCUCUCUCUGUGUUCAUUCAUUUCGAUCCAUGUAUUAUGUUUUAAGUUUGUGUGAUGUGGUUACUGUGGAUGCAAGAUUAAAGGAAAAUCUCAUGCCGGCCAAAAAAAA